AUUGAACGCUAGCGGGAUGCUUUACACAUGCAAGUCGAACGCGUGGCGGACGGGUGAGUAAUAUAUCGGAACGUGCCCAGUAGCGGGGGAUAACUACUCGAAAGAGUGGCUAAUACAGCAAACUAUUGGAGCGGCCGAUAUCGGAUUAGCGAGUUGGGGGGGUAAAGGCUCACCAGGGCAACGAUCCGUAGCUGGUUUGAGAGGACGACCAGCCACACUGGGACUGAGACACGGCCCAGACUCCUGCGGUAGGCAGCAGUGGGUAAUGUUGGACAAUGGGGGAAACCCUGAUCCAGCCAUCCCGCGUGUAUGAGAAGGCCUUCGGGUUGUAAAGUACUUUUGGCAGAGAAGCGGUAUCUGCAGAAUAAGCACCGGCUAACUACGGGCCAGCAGCCGCGGUAAUUC
rnacentral:rRNA from 1 species